CGCUUAUAAAGAAUUUUUAUUACAUUUGGAGCUGAAAAUGUAUAGAAGAAUGUAAAGAGAAACCUUACAAAACGCGAUUGUUUGAUGUAGAUGCCCGUGUACUUUUUCCAAGCUGCCAGGGUGGAUGCGGAAUAUAUUAAAAGUUUAACCAUGAUUACCCAUAAAAUGUAGGAAUAUACGCAGGAAUUUAAGCAGAAAUGGUAUGAGUACUUGGGAACCAGGAUAGAUCAGUGAACCUUUGAUUCUCACUAUGUUGACAAGCCAGAUUGUCGAAGUAUUUCACUUCUAAUAAUGUUAACUGCAGAAGAAAAAGUCAAGUAAAAUAUUAAAAAGAAUAAUAGACAUAUGUAUAACACAAAAUACAAAUUUUAUUUUCUGAUAUUUUACAAAACGUUGCACAAAUAAUUAAAUUUCGAAAAAUAAGGGAAAAAGUUUUACGACAAAUUGACAAGAACUUGCUGAGGCGACCAGGUACUGCAACU
rnacentral:lncRNA from 1 species